GACGAACGCUGGCAGCGUGCCUAAUACAUGCAAGUCGAACGCAGUGGGGACGGGUGAGUAACACGUGGGUAACCUCCCAUCAGAGGGGAUAACACUUGGAAACAGGUGCUAAACCGAUACUGAUGGAUGGACCCGCGGUGCAUUAGCUAGUUGGUGAGGUAACGGCUCACCAAGGCCACGAUGCAUAGCCGACCUGAGAGGGUGAUCGGCAACACUGGGACUGAGACACGGCCCAGACUCCUACGGGAGGCAGAAGUAGGGAAUAUUCGGCAAUGGACGAAAGUCUGACCGAGCAACUCCGCGUGAGUGAAGAAGGUUUUCGGAUCGUAAAACUCUGUGGUUAGAGAAGCGGUAUCUAACAAGAAAGCCACAGAUAACUCAGCGCCAGCAGCCGCGGUAAUAC
rnacentral:rRNA from 1 species